GCCGUAGUACUGGAGCAGUACGCCCGAGUGAGCGUCCACAUUUGGCCAUGGGUUCUGCACCUUACCAAGUUCAGUGAGGAUUGGAGGCACAACAUUGUACAACUUGGCAACAAGCUGUGAAAUAAAAGUUAAAUUUAAGCCGAUCAGCCGAGAAGGACGGACAACUACAGCUGGCUGCCUCCCGCUGGGAAGUUCACCCCAACCAAUGACAUCACAACCAAUUACACAGCUUUUCAGUCACAUGACUUUUUAGCAACUUUAACCCUUAUUUUUUACACAUUUUGGUCCAAUUUAUUAAAAAAUAUCAUUACCACAGUGAA